CGCACAAUUCUCUCUCUCACUCGUUCACUCUUGUCCGGCGAAGGACCACGGCGGAGCCGGCCGGCCACCGGCAGAGCCGCGGUGGCGUCACGGCGGCACCACCACCGGCGGCGGUGGUUCGGCGGCUGAUUUCCGGUGAGACACCCCCCUUUUCUCGGUUCCCCUUUCCGACAACACCCACCACACCCCUGAAACACCCCUUUUCUGUUCGAUCUGUCCAAUCGGACCACCACCACCAUCGUUAGGAGGUGGUGAUGAGCGAUAACUGGUUCCAGAGGGCAAAGAGAGAGAGAGAGAGACGAGAUAGAGAGAGAGAGGCCGAAGAGAGGGAGAGAGCGGCGGAGACAAAGCAGCGCCGCCGCUCACGGCGGCGGCAGUAGCGUCGACGGUGGUGCUUUGGCUCGAUGACAGGAGCUCCGGUUCGAGGAAGCAGGCGAGUCAGCCGGGGCAGUCGAGUUAACUCAGUUAAACCGAGUUAACUCGACUCAGGUCCGGGUCAAUUCAGUUCGGGUGUGGUCAAACCGGUCAGACAGUCAACGGAUGGGUUCGGUUCAGGUUUGGUUCGGUCAACGGGCCAGCAGCUCAGUCAAACGGGUCGGUUCGGCUUGACUCCGCCAAACCGAGUCAACUCAGUGGUCGGGUCAGCGGUUCAGCUUAGCAGUUUGGUUCAAGCCAGCCAGUCGGGUCAGAUUAUGAAGCGGUUCGGGUCGACUCGGUCAAGCCUGGUCAACUCAGCGUGUCAACUUGGUCAACCUGGUUAACUCGGUCAACUCAGCUUUUUGAUAAGAGAUUUUAGUAAAGUCUUGGCGCGAUAAUUACUUAUGCUA